GGCCCUGGCCAUACCACUCUGAAUGCACCCGAUCUCUUCUGAUUUUGGAAGCUAAGCAGGGUCGGGCCUGGCUAGUACUUGGAUGGGAGAAACAAACUAGAGCACCAUCACCA
rnacentral:rRNA from 1 species